GACGAACGCUGGCGGCGUGCUUAACACAUGCAAGUCGAGCGGUAAGGCCUCUUCGGGGGUACACGAGCGGCGAACGGGUGAGUAACACGUGGUUGACCUGGCCUCAGCCCUGGGAUAAGCUCGGGAAACUGGGUCUAAUACCGGAGAUGACCUUUCCUCGCAUGGGGUUUGGUGGAAAGUUUUUUCGGCAGGGGAUGGGAUCGGGGCCUAUCAGCUUGUUGGUGGGGUGAUGGCCUACCAAGGCGACGACGGGUAGCCGGCCUGAGAGGGCGACCGGCCACACGGAGAGUGACACGCGGCCCAGACCCCCACGGGGGGGAGGUGUGGGGAAUAUUGCGCAAGGGGCGGAAGCCUGACGCAGAGACGCCGCGAGGGAAAUGACGGCCUUCGUGUUGUACAUCUCUUUCUACCCCGGAGAAUUUGGACGGUAGGGAUAGAAGAAGCACCGGCCAACUACGUG
rnacentral:rRNA from 1 species